rnacentral:rRNA from 1 species
AGCAGCCGCGGUAAUUCCAGCUCCAAUAGCGUAUAUUAAAGUCGUUGCAGUUAAAAAGCUCGUAGUUGAAUUUCGGGAUCAAUAUGUCGGUCGUGCCUUCGGUACGUACUGGUAUCAUUGGUCUCUCCUUUCUGACGAACCAUGAUGUCAUUAAUUUGGUGUUAUGGGGAGUUAGGACUGUUACUUUGAAAAAUUAGAGUGUUUAAAGCAGGCUUUAGCUUGAAUACAUUAGCAUGGAAUAAUGAAAUAGGACGUUCGAACCUAUUUUGUUGGUUUCUAGGAUCAACGUAAUGAUUAAUAGGGAUAGUUGGGGGCAUUAGUAUUCAAUUGUCAGAGGUGAAAUUCUUGGAUUUAUUGAAGACUAACUACUGCGAAAGCAUUUGCCAAGGAUGUUUUCAUUAAUCAAGAACGAAAGUUAGGGGAUCGAAGACGAUCAGAUACCGUCGUAGU